rnacentral:rRNA from 1 species
AGUGAACGCUGGCGGUAGGCCUAACACAUGCAAGUCGAACGGCAGCACAGUAAGAGCUUGCUCUUACGGGUGGCGAGUGGCGGAUGGGUGAGGAAUACAUCGGAAUCUACUUUUUCGUGGGGGAUAACGUAGGGAAACUUACGCUAAUACCGCAUACGACCUACGGGUGAAAGCAGGGGAUCUUCGGACCUUGCGCGAUUGAAUGAGCCGAUGUCGGAUUAGCUAGUUGGCGGGGUAAAGGCCCACCAAGGCGACGAUCCGUAGCUGGUCUGAGAGGAUGAUCAGCCACACUGGAACUGAGACACGGUCCAGACUCCUACGGGAGGCAGCAGUGGUGAAUAUUGGACAAUGGGCGCAAGCCUGAUCCAGCCAUACCGCGUGGGUGAAGAAGGCCUUCGGGUUGUAAAGCCCUUUUGUUGGGAAAGAAAAGCAGCAGGUUAAUACCCCGCUGUUCUGACGGUACCCAAAGAAUAAGCACCGGCUAACUUCGUG